GUAAAGCUUCAACGCUUCCCUGUGGUAGUGCGGAGGUCCAUGCAGAAGCAGCGUGGGGCGCCCCUUGCCUGCCCAGCUGGCACCAGAGCACCGAGAUCCCAGACGGUUCGUAGAUACUUCCCCAGCCGUCAGGCUCUGUUCCUGAAUGAGGAGCAGCGCGAGUGCCUGGAGCUGCACAUCCGCUCCAUGAAGCUGGAGCGCCUUGGGAACCGCCUCAUCUCAGGCAGUCCGUUGAAGCCAGCAGUGCCCCAGGAGGAAGAAUCUGCCAGCACGUAUGUGACCGCACCGUCCGAGGCAUCUUGGGCUGAGGCAAGCCCCAAAGGCCACAAGCGGCAGCCCCGGAAGGGGAAGAAGUGCCCUAGCAGAGGCAAGAGCACGCGGGGUGCCAAAGUGGCAGGCAGCAGCUUUCCACCUGCCAGGGUAACAUUCUGUGGGGUGCAAGAGACCACCACCAGCUACCGCACCUCACUGUUAUACAGAGACCCUGACAGUGGACAGUUGUACCCACUGACCGUGGCCGCACCAACUAACAAGAAGGUCUUGAGCAAGAUACGCGUGAUACCCCAAGCACCACGGAUCUCUCCCUCUAAGCCCAUCCACGUGUUCAUCAAGGAGAGGAAAGGCCAGGCUCGGUAGCGCCGUCUGUACAAAAAAGUCUUUUUCUUUUUUUCCUAAAUAAAUGAGUGUAUCUACUAGUGCCGAAGAGCUUUCUCUACGGGGGCCUCCCUGGGGAUCGAGGCGGGAGAUGGGCUCGGGAGUAGCAGGGAUGGUGUGCUGUCCCACAGGAGGACAUGCAGAUGAGGAUAAGCCCCGGCAAGUUGGCUGGGGCUUC
ensembl:lncRNA